rnacentral:rRNA from 1 species
GCAUCGAUGAAGAACGUAGCGAAUUACGAUAUGUAAUGUGAAUUGCAGAAUUCAGUGAAUCAUC